rnacentral:lncRNA from 1 species
UCUUUUCUGGCAGAUUACUUCUGUGAGCAACUGGGUCUCUCAGUUCUUUGGGAGCACCCUGGGAAACAGUGUGGCUAUGACUUGGAGCUGCUCACCAGUUCCAGUCAUUCUGUGGUUGAGAGCUGCUCCCUAUGGAUGUUAAUUCUUCUCUAUUUUAGAUUUUCCACAGGUGUGGGCCCCAUUAGCUCUGGCCACCUGAGAAAGCCCUCAGGCAAAGAGUCGCAGGUGAAAGCCAGCAGUUAGAGGUUCACAGAAAUGAGUGCAGAAGCAUCUUCAGUUGGAGAGCCAUUGCCUCUUGCUGUGAAAUAUUUGGGAAUCUUCAGAAACCAUGAAGAAUAACCUGCUAAAGGUGUCAGAGAAAGAUUUGUGAUGACUGAAGAAGGGUCAGAGAAAAACUCAAUGUUGCUGACUUCGAAGAUGGAAGAAAUGGCUGUGAGCUAAGGAAUGCUAGCAGCCUCUAGAAUGUGGAAAAGGCAAGAAACCCAAUUCCUCCCUAAGUCUCCAGAAAGAAACACCAUCCUUGCAUUGUUUAUAGCCCAGAUUGACUUGUGUCAGACUUUUGACCUUCAGAACUGUAAGAAAAUAAAUGUGUAUUGUU